rnacentral:SRP_RNA from 1 species
UCUCGGUAGCUUGCGAUUUAGAUGCAGGUUAAUCCGCCAGGCCUGGAAGGGAGCAACGGGACCAGUAUUCUUCUUGUGCAAGCUGCCACUUUAA